GACGAACGCUGGCGGCGUGCUUAACACAUGCAAGUCGAACGGAAAGGCCCUGCUUUUGUGGGGUGCUCGAGUGGCGAACGGGUGAGUAACACGUGGGUAACCUGCCCUUGACUUUGGGAUAACUUCAGGAAACUGGGGCUAAUACCGGAUAGGAGCUCCUGCUGCAUGGUGGGGGUUGGAAAGUUUCGGCGGUUGGGGAUGGACUCGCGGCUUAUCAGCUUGUUGGUGGGGUAGUGGCUUACCAAGGCUUUGACGGGUAGCCGGCCUGAGAGGGUGACCGGCCACAUUGGGACUGAGAUACGGCCCAGACUCCUACGGGAGGCAGCAGUGGGGAAUAUUGCACAAUGGGCGGAAGCCUGAUGCAGCAACGCCGCGUGCGGGAUGACGGCCUUCGGGUUGUAAACCGCUUUCGCCUGUGACGAAGCGUGAGUGACGGUAAUGGGUAAAAAAGCACCGGCUAACUACGUG
rnacentral:rRNA from 1 species